AGAGUUUGAUCCUGGCUCAGAAUCAACGCUGGCGGCGCGCCUAACACAUGCAAGUCGAACGAGAAAGCGGGAGCAAUCUCGCAAGUAAAGUGGCGUACGGGUGAGUAACACGUGGAUCAUCUGCCCUGGAGUGUGGAAUAACGCUGGGAAACCGGCGCUAAUACCGCAUAUUCCCGAGAGGGGAAAGCAGCAAUGCGCUCGAGGAGGAGUCCGCGGCCGAUUAGCUAGUUGGCAGGGUAAAAGCCUACCAAGGCUAUGAUCGGUAGCCGGCCUGAGAGGGCACACGGCCACACUGGCACUGAAACACGGGCCAGACUCCUACGGGAGGCAGCAGUGGGGAAUCUUGCACAAUGGGGGAAACCCUGAUGCAGCGACGCCGCGUGAGCGAUGAAGCCCUUCGGGGUGUAAGGCUCUUUCGGCAGGGAAGAUGAUGACGGUACCUGCAGAAGCAGCUGCGGCUAACUACGUGCCAGCAGCCGCGGUAAUACGUAGGCAGCAAGCGUUGUUCGGAGUUACUGGGCGUAAAGGGUGUGUAGGCGGCCUGUUAAGUUCCGUGUGAAAUCUCCCGGCUCAACCGGGAGGGUGCGCGGAACACUGGCGGGCUAGAGUACGGGAUGGGAGAGUAGAAUUCCUGGUGUAGCGGUGAAAUGCGUAGAUAUCAGGAGGAAUACCUGCGGUGUAGACGGCUCUCUGGACCGUAACUGACGCUGAAACACGAAAGCGUGGGUAGCAAACAGGAUUAGAUACCCUGGUAGUCCACGCCCUAAACGAUGCAUAUUUGGUGUAGGUCAUUCAGUUGAUCUGUGCCGGAGCUAACGCGUUAAAUAUGCCGCCUGGGGAGUACAGUCGCAAGGCUGAACUCAAAGGAAUUGACGGGGCCCGCACAAGCGGUGGAGCAUGUGGUUCAAUUCGGCGCAACGCGAAGAACCUUACCUGGG
rnacentral:rRNA from 1 species